rnacentral:rRNA from 1 species
CGGGUAGAGUAACACGUAAACAACCUGCCUUCAGGAUGGGGACAACAGACGGAAACGACUGCUAAUACCGAAUAAGUUCCAAGAGCCGCAUGGCCCAUGGAAGAAAAGGUGGCCUCUACCUGUAAGCUAUCGCCUGAAGAGGGGUUUGCGUCUGAUUAGCUGGUUGGAGGGGUAACGGCCCACCAAGGCGACGAUCAGUAGCCGGUCUGAGGGGAUGAACGGCCACACUGGAACUGAGACACGGUCCAGACUCCUACGGGAGGCAGCAUG